GGGAAUUCUACUAUUUCACAUUCAGACAUCUCCAUAUUGUAUAGCUACCUAUGAAUCUCUGUAAUUUCGGUGCAUUCAAUUCCUACGAUUUCCCCAAAUCAUAUUCUUUCAUGGCGAUAAUGGUGGGUGACCCAUCAAAAUCCAAGGCAUUCAUGCUAUAUUGAGCUAGGUACUGAAACCCCUUAAACCCAUAUAUAAACCCCCAUUUUUUACUCUUUUCUUUUUAUUAUUUACUUUUGGGUUUCUUGCUUCAAGUUAGUUGCAAUGUGUUUUCCCAUUUUUUGUUCUUGGUCUUUUCCCCUCUAUAUCUUUCAAAAAUGUUAAGCUGCAUGUGCAGUACUUUAGUAAUUUAGCAUUGCUCUUUUUAGGGAUUUUUUUUUUUAAAAAAACAUCAUAGUUUCUACUAUGUAAAAGAUUAUGCGACUGACUGGUCAAUUACCCGAAAAGGGCUCUUGAUGUGGUGGAAAUUAUAGCAUUUUGAUUUUGAGUACCUUUUUGUUUUGUGAUUUUUUGAUGAAAUCAUCUCUUACUUGGAUCAUGAUGGAAUUGCCCCUUGAUUGCAAGACUACAGACAUGACAUUGUGUCCCAUUCUGUAUGUAUACGUGUGUUUGUGUAUGAGUAUGUUUGUGUGCGUGUACUUUAUGAUUACUUAUUCGGAUACGGUCAAAUUAGGUCUGAUUGUCUUUGAUCAUGGUUGAUUGCGACACAUUUGCUCAUUUGGUAAAAUUUUCUCUUAAAUUUUUAGGCCAUCCUGUCGCUGUGGAAAAAGUUUGCUUCACACUGAUUCCUACCGUAAUACUAAACUGUUUUUGGUCUCUCCUUGUCCCAGUUAGAUUGAUUAACUAUGAGACUGUAGAAUUUAGAUGACCUUGAAGUUGACAUGUUAAGGUUUUUAACUCAUUGUCAGAUCAGUUAUUUAUUCAUCAGCAUGUAAACAUUGUUCACAAGCGAGUAGAUGCGUUCGAGGCCUUGAUCUAAGAGCAUUGGUGUAAUUCUUGACCUUCUCGGCAUGUCAUACAGUUUCCUUCUAGCUUGUAUGUUGAAUGCUUUGAACUAAUAAAUACCGUGU
rnacentral:lncRNA from 1 species